AUACGUAGGUGGCGAGCGUUAUCCGGAAUUACUGGGUGUAAAGGGUGUGUAGGCGGGGAGCCAAGUCAGAUGUGAAAAUUACGGGCUCAACCCGUAACCUGCGUCUGAAACUGGUUUUCUUGAGAGUGGGAGAGGUAAACGGAAUUCCUGGUGUAGCGGUGAAAUGCGUAGAUAUCAGGAGGAACACCGGUGGCGAAGGCGGUUUACUGGACCACAACUGACGCUGAGACACGAAAGCGUGGGGAGCAAACAGGAUUAGAUACCCUGGUAGUCCGCACAGUAAACGAUGGGUACUAGGUGUAGGAGGUAUCGACCCCUUCUGUGCCGGAGUUAACGCAAUAAGUACCCCGCCUGGGGAGUACGGCCGCAAGGUUGAAACUCAAAUGAAUUGACGGGG
rnacentral:rRNA from 1 species